rnacentral:rRNA from 1 species
UAUCGUACAACCGAGGCGCAAGGGCUGUCGCUGACCUUUCUCUUGAAAGGUCGUGCACGCCCAAGUGCUCUCACACACAUCCAUCUCACCCCUAUGUGCACCACCGCGUGGGUCCCCUUUUGGCUUGUUCCAAAGGGGGCUUGCGUUUUCACACAAACUUGAUGCAGUGUAGAAUGUCUUUAUUUUUGCGAUCACACGCAAUCAAUACAACUUUCAACAACGGAUCUCUUGGCUCUCGCAUCGAUGAAGAACGCAGCGAAAUGCGAUACGUAAUGUGAAUUGCAGAAUUCAGUGAAUCAUCGAAUCUUUGAACGCACCUUGCGCCCCUUGGCAUUCCGAGGGGCACACCCGUUUGAGUGUCGUGAAAUUAUCAAAACCCUUUUCUUUUGGUCUUUUGAUCGGGGGAAAAGGGUCUUGGACUUGGAGGCCUUUUGCUGGUUUCAACUUUGAAGCGAGCUCCUCCUAAAUGAAUUAGUGGGGUCUGCUUUGCCGAUCCUCGACGUGAUAAGAUGCUUCUACGUCUUGGGUUUUGGCACUGUCCCUU